GAUGAACGCUAGCGGGAGGCCUAACACAUGCAAGCCGAGCGGUAUUGUUUCUUCGGAAAUGAGAGAGCGGCGUACGGGUGCGUAACACGUGUGCAACCUGCCUUCAUCUGGGGGAUAGCCUUUCGAAAGGAAGAUUAAUACUCCAUAACAUAUUGAACGGCAUCGUUUAAUAUUGAAAGCUCCGGCGGAUAGAGAUGGGCACGCGCAAGAUUAGCUAGUUGGUGAGGUAACGGCUCACCAAGGCGAUGAUCUUUAGGGGGCCUGAGAGGGUGAUCCCCCACACUGGUACUGAGACACGGACCAGACUCCUACGGGAGGCAGCAGUGAGGAAUAUUGGACAAUGGGUGAAAGCCUGAUCCAGCCAUCCCGCGUGAAGGACGACUGCCCUAUGGGUUGUAAACUUCUUUUGUAUAGGGAUAAACCUACCCUCGUGAGGGUAGCUGAAGGUACUAUACGAAUAAGCACCGGCUAACUCCGUGCCAGCCGCCGCCGUAACAC
rnacentral:rRNA from 1 species